rnacentral:rRNA from 1 species
GACGAACGCUGGCGGCGUGCUUAACACAUGCAAGUCGAGCGAGUGGAUUCCCAUCGGGGAUGAAGCUAGCGGCGGACGGGUGAGUAACACGUGGGCAACCUGCCUUAUAGAGGGGGAUAGCCUUCCGAAAGGAAGAUUAAUACCGCAUAACAUCAGAUUAUCGCAUGGUAGACUGAUCAAAGGAGCAGUCCGCUAUAAGAUGGGCCCGCGUCGCAUUAGCUAGUUGGUGAGGUAACGGCUCACCAAGGCGACGAUGCGUAGCCGACCUGAGAGGGUGAUCGGCCACAUUGGGACUGAGACACGGCCCAGACUCCUACGGGAGGCAGCAGUGGGGAAUAUUGCACAAUGGGGGAAACCCUGAUGCAGCAACGCCGCGUGAGUGAUGAAGGCCUUCGGGUUGUAAAGCUCUUUGAUCAGGGACGAUAAUGACGGUACCUGAAGAACAAGCCACGGCUAACUACGUGCCAGCAGCCGCCGUAACAC